rnacentral:rRNA from 1 species
AUUGAACGCUGGCGGCAGGCCUAACACAUGCAAGUCGAGCGAGCGGCGGACGGGUGAGUAAUGUAUGGGGACUGCCCGAUAGAGGGGGAUAACUAAUGGAAAGGGUGGAUAAUACCGCAUACUAUCGGAUAACCCAUAUGGGAGUAGCUCGUAGGUGGGGUAAAGGCUCACCUAGGCGACGAGCUCUAGCUGGUAUGAAAGGAUGAUAAGCCACACGGGGACUGAGACACGGCCCAGACUCCUACGGAGGCAGCAGUGGGGAAUAAUGCACAAUGGGCGCAAGCCUGAUGCAGCCAUGCCGCGUGUAUGAAGAAGGCCUUAGGGUUGUAAAGUACUUUCAGCGGGGAGGCGUUACCCGCAGAAGAAGCACCGGCUAACUCCGUGCCAGCAGCCGCGGUAAUUC